GGUACAAUAUGUAGGCACUUGUAGUGGUAAACAAAUAAUUUGGUGAGAAAACCUAUCAAAGCGGGUCCGGGGUGAGGAUUGGCAGUGUGGAAGAAGGAAAAAGGCCAAGAUAAGAAGACAAGAGGAUUCACCAAAGAGGAUGAAAAAGAAAAGGAACAUGAGCAAAUACACAUGUAAAUCAUAGCUAUAAUAGAAUUCUAACGAAAGCUUGGAGUUAAUUUUGGAAAAGACAAUUUCAGGAAUUGGGACAGCUUAUAGAUGCAUAUCUCUUCAAGGUA